rnacentral:rRNA from 1 species
GUGUCAGCCGCCGUGGUAAUACGUAGGGUGCGAGCGUUAAUCGGAAUUACUGGGCGUAAAGCGUGCGCAGGCGGUGAUGUAAGACAGAUGUGAAAUCCCCGGGCUCAACCUGGGGACUGCAUUUGUGACUGCAUCGCUGGAGUGCGGCAGAGGGGGAUGGAAUUCCGCGUGUGGCAGUGAAAUGCGUAGAUAUGCGGAGGAACACCGAUGGCGAAGGCAAUCCCCUGGGCCUGCACUGACGCUCAUGCACGAAAGCGUGGGGAGCAAACAGGAUUAGAUACCCCAGUAGUCC